GACAUUCCAGAGAAAUUAGCAGAGAUGCUUUGGUGCCUUCGGGAACUUUGAGACAGGGUGCUGCAAUGGGCUGUCGUCAGCUCGUGUUGUGAAAAUGUUGGGUUAAGUCCCGCAACGAGCGCAACCCUUAUCCUUUGUUGCCAGCGAUUAGGUCAGGAACUCAAAGGAGACUGCCAGUAAUAAACUGGAGGAAGGUGGGGAUGACGUCAAGUCAUCAUGGCCCUUACGAGUAGGGCUACACACGUGCUACAAUGGCAUAUACAAAGAGAAGCGACCUCGCGAGAGCAAGCGGACCUCAUAAAGUAUGUCGUAGUCCGGAUUGGAGUGUGCAACUCGACUCCAUGAAGUCGGAAUCGCUAGUAAUCGUGGAUCAGAAUGCCACGGUGAAUACGUUCCCGGGCCUUGUACUACAACCGC
rnacentral:rRNA from 1 species